UGCACGAUACCAAAUCAUCAUUAUGAGCAUAUUAAACAUGAUAUUCAAGCAUUCAUGAUAUAUCAUUUUGGCAACAUGAUCAUAGCUAUUCAAAUGAUGGUAUCUAAAUGUCAAAAUUCAUUAUAUCCUAUCAUGAAUGAUCAUUGACUUCUCAUUUGUAUUUCAUGCAUUAUUUCAUUUCAUCUCAUAAGGAAUAUCAAGAAGAG
rnacentral:lncRNA from 1 species